GAAAUGAAGCUACGAAAGAGGAAGGAGUGAGGUGCAGACAUGAGAUCUGACAGGAGUGAGGUGUGGCCGAAGACUCCCAAAGGUGAUGAAGGGCUCAGGGAGAAACCCAGAAAUCAUGUGCAGGGGUCAACCAGACCAGACAGGAGCCUGCGACUCAGGAGCAAAAUACACGGAAGGAAGAUUGUGAGCGCGGUUGCCUUCUGCAGCUCUACUGGGUUUUCAUGCUGAGGAAUCUGCUCGAAGAUGUACGCCACCAAAACAAGGUGAAAACAAAGGAAGAACAAGACAUGAGAACCAGGAAAGAAGGAAUCAAAUCUAGGAGAAAAUCAAAAGGAAUUUCAAAGUCCGAGAGCGAAGGGAAGUCUGUGCAGGAGGCCUGGGAAGCAGCCAGUACAGAUGGAAGAGAAAGAAGGUCUCCAGAAAAAAAACAUCAAGAAGGAUGUCCAAAUCAGUGAACUUGAUGUUCAGCAAAAUUAAGAGCAUGAAUCCAUGGUCUUCAAAGCAAUCUUCAGGCAAUCUUCAGCAUUUCGUGGCCUGUAGAAGCAUGGACCUGACCUCUGCCUUCACAUUCAUGUGGCAUUCUUCCUAUAUGUGUGUCACCGUCCAAACUCCCCCUUUUAUAAAGACAGUGGGUCCUUUGGAUUAGGGCCCAUCCGAAUAAGCUAAUCUUAUUUUAGCUAAUGACAUCUGCAAUGACCCUAUUUUCAAAUAAGGUCACCAUCUAAUUAUGGGGGGUUAGGACUUCAACAUGUGAAUUUGGGGGGUGCACAGUUCACCCCACAACAGCAUACAUCCAAGAAGCGCUCUGUUGCUGCCCCUCCCCAUCCCAUCCGCCCUCCCCGAGAAGUCAGAGCCUUUGGGCAGGAAAACCUAAAGGAUGUGAGCCUUUCCACGCAGUGGAAUGACCGGUUUUAAAGUAACUUGAAGUCAUUCCUCUCUGUAUGGGUUUUUUUUUUGUUUUUUGUUUUUUUUUUCCAUCAACCAGAUACACAGCUACAUCUGAUUGACUUUUUUCCCUCAACUUGUAAGGGCCAUAUUUUCCUUUUGGUUUACUUUUUUCUUACAGUUAAAUAAAACCAGCCUGGGCGCCUCGGUGGCUCAGCGGGUUAAGCCUCUGCCUUCGGCUCAGGUCGUGAUCUCAGGUCCUGGGAUCGAGCCUCACAUCGGUCUCUCUGCACAGUGGGGAGCCUACUUCUUCCUCUCUCUCUGCCUGCGUCUCUGCCUACUUGUGAUUUCUCUCUCUCUCUCUGUGUCAAAUGAAUAAAUAAAAUCUUUAAAAAAAUAAAAAAUAAAUAAAUAAAACCAGCCUGUUUCCAAGGUCAAAACUACAAAACAAAA
rnacentral:lncRNA from 1 species